UACGUAGGGUGCAAGCGUUGUCCGGAAUUAUUGGGCGUAAAGAGCGUGUAGGCGGCCCGAUUAGUCCGCUGUGAAAGUCCAGGGCUCAACCCUGGAAUGCCGGUGGAUACUGUCGGGCUAGAGUCCGGAAGGGGCGAGUGGAAUUCCUGGUGUAGCGGUGAAAUGCGUAGAUAUCAAGAGGAACACCUGCGGCGAAGGCGGGUUGCUGGGCCGACACUGACGCUGAUGCGCGAAAGCUAGGGGAGCGAACGGG
rnacentral:rRNA from 1 species